CAGUCGAACGGACUCAUAUUGAAACCUAGUGAUUUAUGAGUUAGUGGCGGACGGGUGAGUAACGCGUGGAUAACCUACCGUAUACCGGGGGAUAACACUUAGAAAUAGGUGCUAAUACCGCAUAAGCGCACGGCUCCGCAUGGGGCAGUGUGAAAAACUCCGGUGGUAUACGAUGGAUCCGCGUCUGAUUAGCUAGUUGGCGGGGUAACGGCCCACCAAGGCAGCGAUCAGUAGCCGGCCUGAGAGGGUGGACGGCCACAUUGGGACUGAGACACGGCCCAAACUCCUACGGGAGGCAGCAGUGGGGAAUAUUGCACAAUGGGGGAAACCCUGAUGCAGCGACGCCGCGUGAGUGAAGAAGUAUCUCGGUACGUAAAGCUCUAUCAGCAGGGAAGAAAAUGACGGUACCUGACUAAGAAGCCCCGGCUAACUACGUGCCAGCAGCCGCGGUAAUACGUAGGGGGCAAGCGUUAUCCGGAUUUACUGGGUGUAAAGGGAGCGUAGACGGCAGCACAAGUCUGGAGUGAAAUCCCGGGGCUUAACCCCGGAACUGCUUUGGAAACUGUGCGGCUGGAGUGCAGGAGGGGUAAGCGGAAUUCCUAGUGUAGCGGUGAAAUGCGUAGAUAUUAGGAGGAACACCGGUGGCGAAGGCGGCUUACUGGACUGUAACUGACGUUGAGGCUCGAAAGCGUGGGGAGCAAACAGGAUUAGAUACCCUGGUAGUCCACGCCGUAAACGAUGAUUACUAGGUGUCGGGGGAUCAAGGUCCUCCGGUGCCGG
rnacentral:rRNA from 1 species